GACGAACGCUGGCGGCGUGCUUAACACAUGCAAGUCGAACGGGCCUUGUCCCCUUUUUUUUGGGGGUGGGGUUAGUGGCGAACGGGUGAGUAACACGUGAGUAACCUGCCCCUCACUUCUGGAUAACCGCUUGAAAGGGUGGCUAAUACGGGGUGUUCUGGCCUGCUCGCAUGGGUGGGUUUGGAAAGAUUCGACCGGUUUUGGUUGUUUUGGUGGGGGAUGGGCUCGCGGCCUAUCAGCUUGUUGGUGGGGUGAUGGCCUGCCAAGGCGUUGACGGGUAGCCGGCCUGAGAGGGUGGGCGGGCACACUGGGACUGAGACACGGCCCAGACUCCUACGGGAGGCAGCAGUGGGGAAUAUUGCACAAUGGGCGCAAGCCUGAUGCAGCGACGCCGCGUGAGGGAUGGAGGCCUUCGGGUUGUGAACCUCUUUCGCCAGUGAAGAAGGUCCUGCUCUUUGUGGUGGGGUUGACGGUAGCUGGGUUAAUGAAGCGCCGGCUAACUACGUG
rnacentral:rRNA from 1 species